rnacentral:lncRNA from 10 species
AGAUGUCCUAGGUCCUCCCAAUUCUUAGUCCUUUUAUACCUGUUUUUCUCCUUCCCUUAUUCCAUUUAGUUUUUCAAUUCAUACAAAACCAUAUCCAGGCCAUCACCAAUCAUUCUAUACGACAAAUGUUUCUUCUAACAUCCCCACAAUAUCACCCCUUACCACAAGAUCUCCCUUCAGCUUAAUCUCCCCCACUCUAGGUUCCCACGCUGCCCCUAAUCUCGCUUGAAGCAGCCCUGAGAAACAUCGCCCAUUCUCUCUCCAUACCACCCUCAAAAAUUUUCGCUGCCCCAACACUUCAACACUAUUUUGUUUUAUUUUUCUUAUUAAUAUAAGAAGGCAGGAAUGUCAGGCCUCUGAGCCCAAGCCAAGCCAUCGUAUCCCCUGUGACUUGCACGUAUACGCCCAGAUGGCCUGAAGUAACUGAAGAAUCCCAAAAGAAAUGAAAAGGCCCUGCCCCGCCUUAACUGAUGACAUUCCACCACUGUGAUUGGUUCCUGCCCCACCUUAACUGAGUGAUUAACCCUGUGAAUUUCCUUCUCCUGGCUCAGAAGCUCCCCCACUGAGCACCUUGUGACCCCCGCCCCUGCCCACCAGAGAACAACCCCCUUUGACUGUAAUUUUCCAUUACCUUCCCAAAUCCUAUAAAACAGCCCCACCCCUAUCUCCCUUCACUGACUCUCUUUUGGGACUCAGCCCACCUGCACCCAGGUGAAAUAAACAGCUUUAUUGCUCACACAAAGCCUGUUUGGUGGUCUCUUCACAGGGACGCACAUGAAACAUACUGUCUGUAAGAACCAGCCCUAAGCACUGGCAGCAUAGACUCACAUUGAGAUGACUUUUCAGCCCUGUCCUCAAGAAGCUUGAAAUUUAGUUGAGGAGAUCGGAAACAAAUGAGUUAAAUAGUUUAGAGAAAUGAAGAAAACAAUUGAAAAAGAGAGAAUGGAAAAGAAUAGAAACACUUGUCUCUAAGUUUCUUACGAAGAAUAGUUGGUAUUUAGGAGGCUUCUCUCAAUAAAAAAAGAAACCAACAAAACUAUGUUAUUAAUGAUAAUAUUAACCAAAAAACCAAACUCUGUAAAACACUUUAAAGAAGUUUAUUCUGAGUCUAUAUGAGUGACCACAGCCCAGAGAAACACAAAUCCAAGAAGCCAUUAACAAGUGACACAGCCAAAUUACAUUUUGGCUUUAUAUAUUUCAGGGAGGCAGGAGUUAAUUACAGGCAAAGACAUAAACCAAUACAUGGAAGGUAUACAUUGGUUUGGCCUGAAAAGGUGGGCUAUCUUGAAGUGGGGCUUUCAGGUUAUAGGUGAAUAGAGAGAUUCUUUAAUUUGCAAUAGGAUAAAGGAGUAAAGCUCUGUCUAAAACUUGAGUCAGCAGAAAGGACUGUUUUAAGUUAACAUAAGGAUGUUAUGUGGCAAGGAUGAUGGCCUGCAGAUGGAACUUGACUCUUGACUUGCAUGCCUUAGGUCUUGUGUAUAAUUUGUAAUCUUAUUGCCACAAAGAGUCUCUUUUGUCAGCCUUAUGAUCACUGUUUUAACAUUAAUACUAGUCAGUAGUUGUGCCUAAACUCCAAAAGGGAAGGGGCAUAAUGAGGUGUGUUCCAUCUGCUUUCCUUCAGGUCCAGGAACUCACUUUUUAUGGUUUCUCUGGGGUCCCCUUUGGCUAAGAGAAGGUCUGUUCAGCAGACAGACCUAGGCACUGCCCUCUUCCCCAAGCCAGCAGGAAAUAAGCACACAGCAUUUCUACUUUCCAUAUCUAAUCGUGAUGUUUAGGCUGACAGCAAAAGUGCCAGGUACUGUCAGUUGUGAUCACAGUCACCAAACUGGAGAACAUGGACUGAGACCCCGACAUUGACCAAACCUGAGACUGAGACAGCAGCUGCUUCACAUCUCUACCACACAGAUGCAGAUGCAGUUGCAAAGCAGUAGUACUCGGGAGUGAAAGGCAGUCAUGCUCCUCUGGUUCAUCUCGCAUCCUGUGUUGUCCACAUUGCACCCCUGUCCCUUUCCAUUUAUCACGCCAGUCUUGACAAAGAGGCAUGCUGUUUUUUUCCCUGCUUUAACCUGUUUCAGAAAUGCUGACCUUGCGAAGGUAAGUAAUUCUCACAUCUUUUUCUUAACAUUUAAUUUUUUUUUUAUUCCAGCUGACAGAGCGAAGUGUUAGGUACAAACUUAACAGAUACUCAAAUUAGUUGUUCCUAAAAUAAUUUCUUGCUAAUUGGGCAAUUAUUUUAUGUUAUAUUGAUGGGGGGAAAGGAUACAUGGCACUUCAAUUAUAGGGUAAAAUAAUAAAAAAAGUCAAUUAAUACUUGACUUCAAUAUUCUUUUAUAAAACAACCAGGGCUGUGUGUGUGUCCUCUUCAUCCCCGCUCACACCCACUGUAGGAUGAAAAAUAGGGGAAUGGAGGUGUGUUCAGACUCAAGAAUAUACACUGGGCCCUAGAAUAAAUAAUUGAUGAUCUUAAAAAGAGCAUAUCUACAAUGGAGAGAAUGAACAAACACUUGCUUGUGGCUCCGAAAUACCAGAGCUGGUUUACCACAGUUUAAAUGAAAUCACUUCAUCUGAUGGCUGUGUGGGAAAUGCUGGAGUCCUGUCUCACCUCCGUGGGUCUACCUACUUACCCAGUAUUUCCUCAACUAUAAUGGGCAUAGGGAUCACUCUGAAGGGAAAAAAAAAGGCCCUCGUGGAUGUUGAAAGCAUCUUUUUCAUUAAAGUCAAUGCCAAAGUUCUCCAAGGCAAGCCAAAGCAGCAACUGAGGUAUAUGAUUAUGCAACAUCCUCAACAUGGAGACAGACAUUUUUAAAUUAACUCUGACUUCCUGGCCUAAUUCCCUCUCUUCUGGUAUCCAUACUGGUAAUUUGAAGCCUUGUAAUGUAACACUUUGUAGAGCUAGACUUUAAAGGGAGGGGACUCCUCUAGUUAGUGGUCUUUGCUUUAGCCAGAGAGUCAAAUAUGGCACAUGCUAGGAUUAGGAAUACUGAGCUUUCUCUGAUGUCUACAUUAUCAGCAAAAUUAAGGGUCAUGGUACAACCAUAGUUCCUGUCUUUUUAAACACCAUCUGAAAGAAGUUAGCCUUUACUAAUAAGUUGUAAAUCUGCCUAAAAUUGUCAUUUCCCAAGGGUACUCUGGCAAAUAAAUAUAUCUUAUCAAAAUAGUAAAUCUUUCACUGAGUACAGGAAUACCUUAUUAUAUUGCACUUCACUUUAUUGCACUUCACAAAUAUUAGGGACUUUUUCCAAAUUGAAGGUUUGUGGCAACCUUACAUCAAGUAAGUCUAUCAUUGCCAUUUUUACAACAGCACAUGCUCAAUUACUGUCUGUGUCAUAUUUUGGUAAUUUUCAAUAUUUCAUACAUUUUCAUUGUUUUUAUAUCUGUUAUAGUGACUAGUGAUCUUUGAUGUUGGUAUUGUAAUUGUUUUAAGGCCCCACAAACUGCACCUAUAUAACAUGGCAAAUUUAAUAAAUGAUAUAUAUCUUCUGACCAUUCCACCAACU